CCUACGGGAGGCAGCAGUUCAGAAUCUUGCACAAUGGGCGAAAGCCUGAUGCAGCCAUGCCGCGUGUGCGAAGAAGGCCCUCGGGUCGUAAAGCACUGUCAGGAGGGAAGAAAUUGACGGUACCUCCAGAGGAAGCCACGGCUAAUUACGUGCCAGCAGCCGCGGUAAU
rnacentral:rRNA from 1 species